AGUUUGAUUAUGGCCUGAGAUUGAACGCUGGCGGGAUGCUUUACACAUGCAAGUCGAACGGCAGCACGGACUUCGGUCUGGUGGCGAGUGGCGAACGGGUGAGUAAUGCAUCGGAACGUGCCUAGUAGCGGGGGAUAACUACGCGAAAGCGUAGCUAAUACCGCAUACGCCCUUCGGGGAAAGCGGGGGGACCUUCGGGCCUCGCACUAUUAGAGCGGCCGAUAUCGGAUUAGCUAGUUGCGGGGUAACGGCUCACCAAGGCGACAAUCCGCAGCUGGUUUGAGAGGACGACCAGCCACACUGGGACUGGAGACACGGCCCAGACUCCUACGGGAGGCAGCAGCAGUGGGGAAUUUUGGACAAUGGGGAAACCUGAUCCAGCCAUCCGCGUGUGUGCGAUGAAGGCCUUCAAGGUUGUAAAGCACUUUUGGCAGGAAAGAAACGGCACGGGAUAAUACCCCGUGCAACUGACGGUACCUGCAGAAUAAGCACCGGCUAACUACGCGCCAGCAGCCGCGGUAAUACGUAGGUGCAAGCGUUAAUCGGAAUUACUGGGCGUAAAGCGUGCGCAGGCGGUUCGGAAAGAAAGAUGUGAAAUCCCAGAGCUUAACUUUGGAACUGCAUUUUUAACUACCGAGCUAGAGUGUGUCAGAGGGAGGUGGAAUUCCGCGUGUAGCAGUGAACAGUGUAGAUAUGCGGAGGAACACCGAUGGCGAAGGCAGCCUCCUGGGAUAACACUGACGCUCAUGCACGAAAGCGUGGGGGAGCAAACAGGAUUAGAUACCCUGGUAGUCCACGCCCUAAACGAUGUCAACUAGCUGUUGAAGCUCUUCGCCCUGGUAGCGCAGCUAACGCGUGAAGUUGACCGCCUGGGGAGUACGGUCGCAAGAUUAAACCUCAAGGAAUUGACGGGGACCCGCACAAGCGCCGGUGGAUGAUGUGAUUAAUUCGAUGCAACGCGAAAAACCUUACCUACCCUUGACAUGUCUGGAAACUUUGAAGAGAUUGGGAGUGUUUCGCAAGAGAACCGGAACACAGGUGCCGUAUGGCUGUCGUCAGCUCAAAAGUCGUGAGAUGUUGGGUUAAGUCCCGCAACGAGCGCAACCCUUGUCAUUAGUUGCUACGAAAGGGCACUCUAAUGAGACUGCCGGUGACAAACCGGAGGAAGGUGGGGAUGACGUCAAGUCCUCAUGGCCCUUGGUGGGUAGGGCUUCACACGUCAUACAAUGGUCGGGACAGAGGGUCGCCAACCCGCGAGGGGGAGCCAAUCCCAGAAACCCGAUCGUAGUCCGGAUCGCAGUCUGCAACUGACUGCGUGAAGUCGGAAUCGCUAGUAAUCGCGGAUCAGCAUGUCGCGGUGAAUACGUUCCCGGGUCUUGUACACACCGCCCGUCACACCAUGGGAGUGGGUUUUACCAGAAGUGAGUUGGCCUUAACCGCAGCGAGUGGCGAUUACCACGGUAGGAUUCAUGACUGGGGUGAAGUCGUAACAAGGUAG
rnacentral:rRNA from 1 species